AGUGGACGCGAGCAUCUUUGUGGCCAAGUUUUUUAGGGCACACGGUGGAUGCCUUGGCAUCAGGAGCCGAUGAAGGACGUGGGAGGCUGCGUUAAGCCCCGGGGAGUCGCCAACCUGACUUUGAUCCGGGGAUGUCCGAAUGGGGAAACCUAGCACCAGUCAUGUGGUGUUGCCUCCGCCUGAAUGUAUAGGGCGGUUGGUGGUAACGCGGGGAAG
rnacentral:rRNA from 1 species